GAAGAGGAAACUUGUUCACAUGCAGGGACAAAGGCCCCCAUGUGAGGACACAGUGGCCAAGUAGGGCCAGAGUGAAACCAACAGUGACAGCACCUUCCUCCCAGACUUCUAGGACUGUGAGGAAAUGCGUUUCUGCUGUUUAGGCCUGUGGUGCUCUGACACUGCAGCCCAGGCACACUGAUACAGGGAUCAAAGGGCAACAGCACGGAAUCCAACCAACUUCAGAAGUUCUAAAGCUGAACUUGCUGCGAAGCACCCGAUCUUCAUCCUGAGGGCCCCAGCCAGGAGAGCGGUGUUUAGAAGCAUUAAUUGAUCAAAUGAGGCUGUGAUGCUUCACCACGUGGCACGGUAUUCCUGAUGUGGCCUGAGUCUCUGCCUAGGAAACAGGCCCAUGUCGUUGACGGUUCUCCGCCCAGCCAGGGCUGCCUCCUGGACAGUGCUUGCCCUCUUCCUGUUCAGCUCCAUCUUUGAACAAAGCCUUUGGGUGGGUCUCAAAGCUCCUCAAGGAUCAGGCUUCCCCUGGGACCUCACAAACCUGUGAAGGUUCUCUCCAGUCCCAUUUGGGAAGCAAAAUCUCAGCCAUAUGGCCAUAUGGGUCUGGAAAUGAAACAACAAGAAGAAAAAAGAAUGGGAAUCUUUGGAGUGCCGAUUGAUGAUUUGGCUGAAAGGCUGGAAGCAAUCUGUUUAUCACACACUAUAUGUUCAUUGAUCACUCCCCCUAGAGAAGAUUAGGUUAGCACACAGAAGUAAUGAAGGGUGCCCAUUCCCAGGGAAGUCACAAUAUGAUGUAGUCGGAGCUCUCUGAUAUGAUCAAAAAUAAACAAAAAAUAAAAUUAAAAGAGCAUAUAACACCCAGAAAA